AGAGUUUGAUCCUGGCUCAGGAUGAACGCUGGCGGCGUGCUUAACACAUGCAAGUCGAACGAACCUUCGGGUUAGUGGCGGACGGGUGAGUAACGCGUGGGAAUCUGCCCUCAGGAGGGGGAUAACGGUUGGAAACGACCGCUAAUACCCCAUAUGCCGAGAGGUGAAAUGAAUUUCGCCUGAGGAUGAGCCCGCGUCUGAUUAGCUUGUUGGUGAGGUAAUGGCUCACCAAGGCUUCGAUCAGUAGCUGGUCUGAGAGGAUGAUCAGCCACACUGGGACUGAGACACGGCCCAGACUCCUACGGGAGGCAGCAGUGGGGAAUUUUCCGCAAUGGGCGAAAGCCUGACGGAGCAACGCCGCGUGAGGGACGAAGGCCUCUGGGCUGUAAACCUCUUUUCUCAAGGAAGAAGAUAUGACGGUACUUGAGGAAUAAGCCACGGCUAAUUCCGUGCCAGCAGCCGCGGUAAUACGGGAGUGGCAAGCGUUAUCCGGAAUUAUUGGGCGUAAAGCGUCCGCAGGCGGCCUUUCAAGUCUGCUGUUAAAGCGUGGAGCUUAACUCCAUCAUGGCAGUGGAAACUGAUAGGCUUGAGUAUGGUAGGGGCAGAGGGAAUUCCCGGUGUAGCGGUGAAAUGCGUAGAUAUCGGGAAGAACACCAGUGGCGAAGGCGCUCUGCUGGGCCAUAACUGACGCUCAUGGACGAAAGCCAGGGGAGCGAAAGGGAUUAGAUACCCCUGUAGUCCUGGCCGUAAACGAUGAACACUAGGUGUCGGGGGAAUCGACCCCUUCGGUGUCGUAGCUAACGCGUUAAGUGUUCCGCCUGGGGAGUACGCACGCAAGUGUGAAACUCAAAGGAAUUGACGGGGGCCCGCACAAGCGGUGGAGUAUGUGGUUUAAUUCGAUGCAACGCGAAGAACCUUACCAGGGCUUGACAUCCUGCGAACCUUUAAGAAAUUAGAGGGUGCCUUCGGGAACGCAGUGACAGGUGGUGCAUGGCUGUCGUCAGCUCGUGUCGUGAGAUGUUGGGUUAAGUCCCGCAACGAGCGCAACCCACGUUUUUAGUUGCCAGCAUUUAGUUGGGCACUCUAGAAAGACCGCCGGUGAUAAACCGGAGGAAGGUGUGGAUGACGUCAAGUCAUCAUGCCCCUUACGUCCUGGGCUACACACGUACUACAAUGCUACGGACAAAGGGCAGCAAACUCGCGAGAGCUAGCAAAUCCCAUAAACCGUGGCUCAGUUCAGAUCGUAGGCUGCAACUCGCCUACGUGAAGUAGGAAUCGCUAGUAAUCGCAGGUCAGCAUACUGCGGUGAAUACGUUCCCGGGCCUUGUACACACCGCCCGUCACACCAUGGAAGUUGGCCACGCCCGAAGUCGUUACUUUAACCCUUGUGGAGAAGGACGCCGAAGGUGGGGCUGAUGACUGGGGUGAAGUCGUAACAAGGUAGCCGUACCGGAAGGUGCGGCUG
rnacentral:rRNA from 1 species